UUAGAGCGGCGAACGGGUGAGUAACACGUGAAUAACCUGCCUUUUAGUUGGGGAUAACCAUUCUAACGGAUGGCUAAUACCGAAUAUCGUGGUCUAUCGCAUGAUGGAUUUACUAAAGCCUUCGGGCGCUAGAAGAUGGAUUCGCGGCGCAUUAGCUUGUUGGUGAGGUAACGGCUCACCAAGGCGACGAUGCGUAGCCGGCCUGAGAGGGUGAUCGGCCACAUUGGGACUGAGAUACGGCCCAGACUCC
rnacentral:rRNA from 1 species